AACGAACGCGUGCGGCGUGCUUAACACAUGCAAGUCGAACGGGGUAUGCUUUCGGGCAUAUCUAGUGGCGGACGGGUGAGUAACGCGUGGGUCAUCUGCCUAUAGGUGGGGGAUAACUUCCUUAAAGGGGAGCUAAUACCGCAUAGUGCCUUUGGGUUUAAAGGAGUCUUUGACUUCGCCUGUAGAUGAGCCUGCGUGCCAUUAGGUAGUUGGUGGGGUAAAGGCCUACCAAGCCAUCGAUGGCUAGCUGGUCUGAGAGGAUGAUCAGCCACACUGGGACUGAGACACGGCCCAGACUCCUACGGGAGGCAGCAGUGGGGAAUAUUGGACAAUGGGGGCAACCCUGAUCCAGCACCGCCGCGUGUGUGAAGAAGGCCUUCGGGUCGUAAAGCACUGUUGAGUGGGAGGAAGCAGCUUUUUUGGUGUUUGACGGUACCACUUUAGAAAGCACCGGCUAACUCCGUGCCAGCCGCCGCGGUAAUU
rnacentral:rRNA from 1 species